rfam:Ornithorhynchus anatinus chromosome 3, whole genome shotgun sequence.
AGCAGCAUAGCUUAGUGGAAAGAGCACGGGCUUGGGAGUCAGAGGUCGUGGGUUCUAAUCCCACUUCUGUCA